GGCAUGGUGGUGCAGUGGGUAGCACUGUCGCCUCACAGCAAGUAGGUUCUGGGUUCAAAUCCAGCCUGAGCCU
rnacentral:tRNA from 1 species